GCACGGACAUGUGCACUUGGAUGAGAAACACAGCGAACUGUGGCAGGCAAACGACACUUCAAUAGGUUUGUGAGGCCAUCAGCAACUGAUUGUCCAGAUUCUCCCCAGUCAAGUACUGGUUGAAUUGCUCUAGCUGUCACUUCCAAAAGCUCUAGCUGUGGUAAGGUGCAUGCUUCUCCAUCGACAAGCAUCCCAUCUGUGGCCCGUAAAAGGAGGUCAGGGUUACUAGCCAGAAUUACCAAAGAUUCCGCUAUAUCAUGAUUCCUUAUCAGUUCUGCGAUCAAUUUUACUAUACGUUGGUUAAUUCUCCACAUUUGCUGACCAACUUCAUCAUCUUUAGCAAUCCAUGGUUGCAAUUCCCUCUCAGCCUGACAAGUAAAGUUUGGCAAGAAAGUGACCAAACAAAUAUUGUGAUGAAGACCUACUUACAGCUAGAAGCAAAGCGAUGAUAACUAUUAAUGCAUGCAAGUCUAAGAAACCCUGGAACCGGAAAGGUACUGUACCAUAAACAUAAAUGUAUUUGCCAUGUGAUAACGCCAAAAAUAUGACAGAGAAGGGAAAACUUCCAGAAAUUGCCCCUAAACUAUUCGGAAUUGCUCAAUUUUUUCUCCAUACAAUUUGGGUCCGUUAUUAAUACCCUUGCCAUAAGCAAAUCAUCCUAUAUUUUUUCUUUUAAUUAACGGAACUCCAACAUGAAAUAGGUGGACUCCAUGUGUCCAAAUUAUUUGUGAAAAAAGGUCCAAGCUUACCCCUUGUCUUUCAACUUUAGUUUAAAAUUACCCUUGGCGUUUUGUUAGGAGUUAAGGAAAAAAAAGACUUUUUAUCCUAAUGCAUCAGUAAUAUUAGACCAAAAGUUCAUUGGAGGGCAAAAUUUCUCAAUUUCGGAUAGGACAAGGAUAGACUUGUUUCUUUUCCCUAGAAAAGAAUGUAAUUAUUUGAAAUAGCAGGUGUAUCUGUUAAGCCAUUUGGAUCCAAAUAAAUAUGAACUGUGCAUACUAGCUGCAGCCUAACAAAAAAUGAUCAUGAUCUAUAAUGACCAAAUACAGUUAAAGCGAAAUCUGGACCUGAAGAACAAUUGCUGUUGCAGCUUUUCCAGGUGCCGCUGAUACAACAUUGCAUAGUGCAUCAACCACCUGUCUCCAUCCUUGCUGGGCGGAAGUGCUUUCUGCAAUGGGUUGUGUUUCAGGUGAUGCAAUCAACUUGUGCCAGAGCAAUGAGACAACAGAAAAACACAAUUCUUGUUUGUCUGCAAGCACUGAUUUUAAAAGAUCUUGUGCAUUGCAAUUAAAUCCAAAAUGCCUGUCCUUUGUAAGAAAAUUGGCCAAGUCUGUAGCAUCCAAGGAGAAAUUUGCAAACACUUUGCUGAUGGUGUACCCAGCAAGCUCACUAGAGUGUGAACUUGAGUCUGAAGCUUUCUCACACACAAGUGAACUUCUACGAUCAUACGAAUCUUUACACAGAGGUCCUGAUGGUUGUUCUGAUGUUAAGCAAUUACGACUUGUGUAUUUAUAAUGCUUUUUCCCAUUCAAGCAUCUAGGUCGCUCCUUCAGAAGUGGUACAUGUAUUAGAUAAGCUUCCAAUGGUUCAGCCUUGUUGACAAUUGAUGCAACAGUUUUGCUAUGAAUAUCAAUUAGGUUAUAAAUUGACGAUGCCCUGGAAUGAAUUUCAUUAUCCCACUUGCACCGUAUCAAAGAAGAAAGAGAGUGCAUGCAGGCCUUGGAGCGUUUAAAAAGAUCAGAAAUAUGAGCAGCUACCAUAGCUGCAGCAACUAUCUCAUUUGAGCUGAAGCUCCAUGAGGUUCCAACAGAAGAUGGUUUAAGAGAAAAAAGUGCCUCUAAAAUUUCCAACAUCCUCCGAGUAUGAGAGACGGCAGAAUGAAUCCCAUUUCGUAGCUCAGUAGAUGAAUCACUUGCAGGCUUGGCUUCAUCCAUGAUGAUUUUUGGAUCUGGAUAAUUAGGCCCUCUUGAAAUCAUACUGAAGAGCUGAAGCUCGCAAGAAAGUCCACAGACAGAAGCAAGGACAUAAGAAUCAAAUGCUGCAACAGGCCCUUGUUUUUUCACUUUCUUACUCCCUAUUGGUCUUUGUUUUCCAAUGGUUGCCUGAGUGUCUACCCCGAUUUCACUAGGUGAGUGAGUAUCUUCACCUUUAGGCCUUUUAUUCCCAUUUGGUUUUGCUUCAUGACUGACACAUACUGUUAAGAUAACAAAAAGUAGUCGAGAUGCAAGCUCAACAGAGGCACACGACUCCAAGAACAAUGAAUGAACCAUGGUUCGCAGUUCUGCCACAGCAAGAUUUUUUAAGGCAGAGCCAAAAAUAUAUCUGGUUUUUCUGGUUUCUUCUCUAGAGGAAUCAGGCGGGAACGUUCUCUGAAGAAUUGCUUCGACGGUCGCAACAAAUAUUUUCAUAAGACAAGUUUCAGAUGGGCUCCCACGAGGAAGAUACUCAAGAACCUUAAGAAGGGGUAUAUACAGGUUCCAUGACAAAAUGGGUGGUUGUAAAGGGGUGGCAACUACAAUCUCAGGGAGAUCAACUGCAGAUGAACUUAAAGGAAUCAAUCCAUAAGCAGCUUCCCAGAUGGUACAUAUUCUCCAUUCAACCUCCGGA
rnacentral:misc_RNA from 1 species